UGGAAGGGGCGCUGUGGCGGCGGGGAGCCCGCGGCCCUCGCGGUGACGCGGCGGAGCCUCCCGGUAGGAGUCUGUCAGAGAGAGCAGCCCCGCGCGCCGUCCCCACGCUCCCGACCCCGCGCUCUCCUUCAGCACCAGGGACAGGCGCUGCGCCACGACAGCCGAGGAGCGGCCGGGCCCUGGCGCGGCCUGAGGGCUGCGCGCGGCGCGGGGCGGCGGCCUGCGGGGCUGCUGUGGUACCGCUGUGGUACCGCUGGGCCAGAGUUCCCGUCGGCGAGGGCUGUGACUUACUGGUGCAGUUCGCACGAAGGGUUCGUCAUAUCUGAGGCAGCAUGCAGACCAGAUGGGGAAUGAUUUUCAGAAGUAAUCUGUGCAGAAAUUGUUAUUUACUACUGAGUUGCCUGGUACUACUGCCUCGACUCUGUCCUUCAUAAGAUUAAGCUCUCUUACUUCACUGAACAGCAGCAGAAACAUGCCUGGAUCUGGUCCAAACAGAUAACGACCAAAGUGAUUAUUCAGUGCAAAGGGGACAGCAGCAAGCAGUGCCUGUAUGAUUACUCAGCCUUUGCUCAAUAUUCCAUCAGCAGGGGGGAAGACAAUGGAAAAUCAAGCCAAAAGACUCGGAUUUCCACUUUCUUUGGCAGUUGCAUUGAAAAUUACAAGGCCUGGGAACUGAGUGGGACAAGAGAAACCUGUACUGUCUUUGACUCACUGAGCAUCUCUCUGCAAGCCUUAGAUAAAGCAUUUGGGGAUGAAGCUCCACUUCUGUUGUCUCUAGGUACCUGCCUCUGGAAAUAAGCUGUGUGCUCAUACUGAUGUUCUUUUUUUUCCUCCAGUCUUAAAGCUAAAUUAUUUCCAAAGAAUACAAAUAGAAGAAAACCUCAGAGAGCUCUUGAAAGCCACGCAUACUGGUC
rnacentral:lncRNA from 1 species